AGAGCGAACGCUGGCGGCAGGCCUAACACAUGCAAGUCGAGCGGAUGUAGCAAUACAUCAGCGGCAGACGGGAGAGUAACACGUGGGAACGCGCCCUUCGGUUCGGAAUAACUCAGGGAAACUUGAGCUAAUACCGGAUACGCCCUUACGGGGAAAGAUUCAUUGCCGAAGGAACGGCCCGCGUCCGAUUAGCUUGUUGGUGAGGUAAUGGCUCACCAAGGCGACGAUCGGUAGCUGGUCUAAGAGGAUGAUCAGCCUCACUGGGACUGAGACACGGCCCAGACUCCUACGGGAGGCAGCAGUGGGGAAUAUUGGACAAUGGGCGCAAGCCUGAUCCAGCCAUGCCGCGUGGGUGAUGAAGGCCCUAGGGUUGUAAAGCCCUUUCGGCGGGGAAGAUAAUGACGGUACCGCAGAAGAACGCCCCGGCUAACUUCGUGCCAGCAGCCGC
rnacentral:rRNA from 1 species